rnacentral:misc_RNA from 1 species
UAUCACCACCGCGAAGAAGCUGACUUAAGAUUUGCUCCUCAGCUCCCAAAUGCUGCUUCUUAUAAAGAGCUUAACUGGUUCUCAGCUGCAAAAUUACGCUAAUGAUGGUGCUGGUAACAUUUCCCUCUGCCAACCUGCUUGGAUAUGCUGUUUUUCCGACUGCUCUGCUUCGGUUGUGGGAAAGAUUUCUGUCCGAAGAGAAUAAAG